rnacentral:rRNA from 1 species
GAUGAACGCUAGCGAUAGGCCUAACACAUGCAAGUCGAGGGGCAUCACAUGAAGUAGCAAUACGGAUGGUGGCGAUCGGCGCACGGGUGAGUAACACGUAUGCAACCUGCCUUCAACAAGGGGAUAACCCGUUGAAAAACGGACUAAUACCCUAUAAUACAGGGGUCCCGCAUGGGGAUAUUUGUUAAAGAUUGAUCGGUUGAAGAUGGGCAUGCGUUCCAUUAGCUGGUUGGUGAGGUAACGGCUCACCAAGGCAACGAUGGAUAGGGGAACUGAGAGGUUUAUCCCCCACACUGGUACUGAGACACGGACCAGACUCCUACGGGAGGCAGCAGUGAGGAAUAUUGGUCAAUGGACGCAAGUCUGAACCAGCCACGUCGCGUGAAGGAAGACGGCCCUACGGGUUGUAAACUUCUUUUAUACGGGGAAUAAAGUGCCCCACGCGUGGGGUUUUGCAUGUACCGUAUGAAUAAGGAUCGGCUAACUCCGUGCCAGCAGCCGCGGU